rnacentral:rRNA from 1 species
GAUGAACGCUGGCGGCGUGCCUAAUACAUGCAAGUCGAGCGAACGGACGAGAAGCUUGCUUCUCUGAUGUUAGCGGCGGACGGGUGAGUAACACGUGGAUAACCUACCUAUAAGACUGGGAUAACUUCGGGAAACCGGAGCUAAUACCGGAUAAUAUUUUGAACCGCAUGGUUCAAAAGUGAAAGACGGUCUUGCUGUCACUUAUAGAUGGAUCCGCGCUGCAUUAGCUAGUUGGUAAGGUAACGGCUUACCAAGGCAACGACGCAUAGCCGACCUGAGAGGGUGAUCGGCCACACUGGAACUGAGACACGGUCCAGACUCCUACGGGAGGCAGCAGUAGGGAAUCUUCCGCAAUGGGCGAAAGCCUGACGGAGCAACGCCGCGUGAGUGAUGAAGGUCUUCGGAUCGUAAAACUCUGUUAUUAGGGAAGAACAUAUGUGUAAGUAACUGUGCACAUCUUGACGGUACCUAAUCAGAAAGCCACGGCUAACUACGUGCCAGCAGCCGCGGUAAUACGUAGGUGGCAAGCGUUAUCCGGAAUUAUUGGGCGUAAAGCGCGCGUAGGCGGUUUUUUAAGUCUGAUGUGAAAGCCCACGGCUCAACCGUGGAGGGUCAUUGGAAACUGGAAAACUUGAGUGCAGAAGAGGAAAGUGGAAUUCCAUGUGUAGCGGUGAAAUGCGCAGAGAUAUGGAGGAACACCAGUGGCGAAGGCGACUUUCUGGUCUGUAACUGACGCUGAUGUGCGAAAGCGUGGGGAUCAAACAGGAUUAGAUACCCUGGUAGUCCACGCCGUAAACGAUGAGUGCUAAGUGUUAGGGGGUUUCCGCCCCUUAGUGCUGCAGCUAACGCAUUAAGCACUCCGCCUGGGGAGUACGACCGCAAGGUUGAAACUCAAAGGAAUUGACGGGGACCCGCACAAGCGGUGGAGCAUGUGGUUUAAUUCGAAGCAACGCGAAGAACCUUACCAAAUCUUGACAUCCUUUGACAACUCUAGAGAUAGAGCUUUCCCCUUCGGGGGACAAAGUGACAGGUGGUGCAUGGUUGUCGUCAGCUCGUGUCGUGAGAUGUUGGGUUAAGUCCCGCAACGAGCGCAACCCUUAAGCUUAGUUGCCAUCAUUAAGUUGGGCACUCUAAGUUGACUGCCGGUGACAAACCGGAGGAAGGUGGGGAUGACGUCAAAUCAUCAUGCCCCUUAUGAUUUGGGCUACACACGUGCUACAAUGGACAAUACAAAGGGCAGCGAAACCGCGAGGUCAAGCAAAUCCCAUAAAGUUGUUCUCAGUUCGGAUUGUAGUCUGCAACUCGACUGCAUGAAGCUGGAAUCGCUAGUAAUCGUAGAUCAGCAUGCUACGGUGAAUACGUUCCCGGGUCU